rnacentral:rRNA from 1 species
CAGAGGGUGCAAGCGUUGUUCGGAAUUAUUGGGCGUAAAGCGCGUGUAGGCGGCUUUGUAAGUUGGGUGUGAAAGCCCUCGGCUUAACCGAGGAAGUGCGCCCAAAACUGCAUUGCUUGAGUGUCGGAGAGGAUGGCGGAAUUCCCGGUGUAGAGGUGAAAUUCGUAGAUAUCGGGAGGAACACCAGUGGCGAAGGCGGCCAUCUGGACGACUACUGACGCUGAGACGCGAAAGCGUGGGGAGCAAACAGGAUU